UACGGAGGAUGCAAGCGUUAUCCGGAAUGAUUGGGCGUAAAGCGUCCGCAGGUGGCAAUGUAAGUCUGCUGUUAAAGAGUCUAGCUCAACUAGAUAAAAGCAGUGGAAACUACAUAGCUAGAGUAAGGUAGGGGUAGAGGGAAUUCCUGGUGUAGCGGUGAAAUGCGUAGAGAUCAGGAAGAACACCGGUGGCGAAAGCGCUCUGCUGGACCUUAACUGACACUGAGGGACGAAAGCUAGGGGAGCGAAUGGG
rnacentral:rRNA from 1 species